GGAGAAAUUUAGAACAGAUAGAAACCGACCUGGAUUACUCCGGUCUGAACUCAGAUCACGUAGGACUUUAAUCGUUGAACAAACGAACCUUUAAUAGCGGCUGCGCCAUCGGGAUGUCCUGAUCCAACAUCGAGGUCGUAAACCCUAUUGUUGAUAUGGACUCUGGAAUAGGAUUGCGCUGUUAUGCCCGCCUCUUCACGGGGGAAAAAUAUUUCAGCUCUUGUCUUGAACUAAGUUAUGAAAAUUACGAAUAUACACCUUCUACUUAUGAAAGCAAAGGUGAACUGUAAAACAGACUUAAGCAGGUCCUCUAAAAGGCAUUAUCCUCAUAGGAGAUGACAGCUCUAUGUGUGUUAUUGCUCCUAAAGAUCUUCCAGAAAAACAAGAUGUGAAUGUGGCAGGUGGUAAUACUGAUGAUCCUGACCUUGUGUAGGCAUAAGCUAAUGUGUGUCUGUCUUCGUUUUUAAUAAAAUAGCUUACAAAGUCAAAUAAAUAAAUAUACUUUAAGAAUAGAGAAAAGCCUAUAGAACAAGGAUACGAAGAAAGAAAACCUUUUGAAUAGUUGUACAACAUGUUCAUGUUUUAAGUGUAAUUACAAGAGUAAAGAAGUUUAAAAAAUUAAGAUUAUAAAGUAAAAAAGUUACAGUAAGCUAACAUUCAAUAACAAUUAACAAAUUAAUUGUUAUUAAAUUUAUUUUAAAUUUUUGUGUAGCCUAAGUGUACAGUGUUUAUAAAGUCUGCAGUAGUGUACAGUAAUGUUCUAGGCCUUCACAUUCACUCACCACUCACACACUGACUCACACAGAGCAACUUCUAGUCCUGCAAGCUCCAUUCAUGGUAAGUGCCCUACACAGGGGCACCAUUUCUUAAAAUCUUUUAUACUGUAUUUUUACUGUGUCUUUUCUAUAUUUAGAUAUGUUUAGAUAGACAAAUACUUACCAUUGCAUUACAAUUGCCCACAGUACUCCAUAAAGCACCAUAUUGUAAAGGUUUGUAGCCUAGGAGCAAUAAACUAUCACACUUAGCAAUCAGCUAGGUUUGUAGGAGACUAUACCAUCAACAUUUGUGUAAGUACAUGCUAUGAUGUUUGUACAAUGACAAAAUUGCAUAACACAUUUCUCAGAAGGUGUCCCCAUUGUGAAGUGGCAUAUGACUAUUUAUGUAGGUGUGUAUGUGUGUCACCCUCUCUCUCUCUCUAAAGAUUUUUGAGAAAUAAACAAUGAUAUUUUAAAAAACUUAGAAGCCUGGAAAGAGAAACAAAUAUAGUUAUUAAUAACAAUAAUUUGGUUAGUAUAGUGGCAUUAUCCGUGAUACAUAUUUUUGUUAUUACACAGGUUCUUUAUAAGUAGUUAUUUUAAUGAUUUUAGUCACAACAAAACAGAAAAAAUAUAUAUAUUUCUAAUUUUUAAAAUAGAUAAGUAUUUCCUUUUAUUUGUUCUGGUUUAUUUGAUGUGUGUCCUAAAUAAAAGACUUGUUUUCCCAAAAAAAAUAUUCUGGACAUGCAGAGCUCAGUCUCUAUGCUCAAUAUAAAGGCUGAUUUAAGUCUCACUAAUAAGAAAAUGGAGUCCAGUUUAUAAUGUGGAAAUAUUUCUUAUUCUUUCACUUUGUGCUAGCCAGGAUUUAUCAUUUCUGGCUCUUCAGAAGAUGAGUAUUCAUAAUACGAAUGGUCAUUACUUAACCAAGUUGUAAUUCAUUUCAACAUUAUGUAAUAUUUUUUCUUAGUAAUAAAGCAUCUAUUUUUAUUGUUA